rnacentral:lncRNA from 1 species
ACCGUUAAGCCACCUCUCCUGUGGCGUGGGGCGCGCGGGCGAGACGUGAGAGGGAGUUGUGGGCCUGAGACCACUGAGAGAAGUCCGGAAGGUCCCUCAGAAAUAAUCGAACAACCGAAGAACCUAAAAAGCAAUUUCUUGCGUUCCCACAAUGAAUGAUCAAGAACAACAUUGCGGUUUGGUUCUGAAAGCUGCUUUAAGGAUUGAGAAUGUGAAAUUAGAAGAUGGUCAGCACUUUACGCUCACAGAUGGUUGCGUGGAAGCAAGUGCAAAGGUCCAGAGUGCAUUCCAAGCACCAACUGAACCUAAGCCUUUUCUCUGCAAAGAUUUAUCUGUUCUGAUAAAAAGAGUGAACAGGACUCUCUUGUUUAUCCUUAUUACUGAAGUGCUGACCAUGACAGCACUGCCUCAAUGUUGUUUAACUGAUAAAAAUGAGACUAAAUCCAGAUAGGUAAAAUAUUGCAGAGGCAAGCAGAAUGUUCAAGGUGAAAGUAAAUACAAAACUUUGUUGUAAUUAAAUAAAGAUAUGAAAGCCAGAUAAUUAAAAAUUAAU